rnacentral:tRNA from 2 species
UCUAAAAUGGCAGAUUAAUGUGUCAGGCUUAGGACCUGUUUAUGAGAGUUGUUCUCUUUUAGAA